GCAGACACAUUCCAGCCAAUCAGCAGCAGACCCUCCCUACCAGACCCUCCCACCUCCUGGACAGCAUCCAUUUUAUAUUCAUUGUGAAGCUGCAUUCUUAGUGAGCUGUCCAGGAGGUGGGAGGGUCUGGGAGGGAGGGUCUGCUGCUGAUUGGCUGGAAUGUGUCUG
rnacentral:miRNA from 1 species